GACGAACCGAGCGAACGUUGUUCGGAAUCACUGGGCUUAAAGGGCGCGUAGGCGGGUUCUCAAGUCCGGGGUGAAAUCCCACAGCUCAACUGUGGAACUGCCUCGGAUACUGGGAGUCUCGAGGGUGGCAGGGGUAUGCGGAACUAUCGGUGGAGCGGUGAAAUGCGUUGAUAUCGAUAGGAACUCCGGUGGCGAAGGCGGAUCUCUGGGCCGAUACUGACGCUGAGGAGCGAAAGCGUGGGGAGCGAACAGG
rnacentral:rRNA from 1 species